UACAGAGACUGCAAGCGUUAUUCGGAUUCACUGGGCGUAAAGGGUGCGCAGGCGGUUUUGUGUGUCAGGUGUGAAAGCCCGGAGCUUAACUCCGGAAUUGCGCCUGAAACUACAGAACUAGAGCAUUGGAGAGGGUAGCGGAAUUCACGGUGUAGCAGUGAAAUGCGUAGAUAUCGUGAGGAACACCAGAGGCGAAGGCGGCUACCUGGACAAUUGCUGACGCUCAGGCACGAAAGCGUGGGGAG
rnacentral:rRNA from 1 species